AGCGAACGCUGGCGGCAGGCCUAACACAUGCAAGUCGAACGAAGUCUUCGGACUUAGUGGCGGACGGGUGAGUAACACGUGGGAACGUGCCUUUAGGUUCGGAAUAACUCAGGGAAACUUGUGCUAAUGCCGAAUGUGCCCUUCGGGGGAAAGAUUUAUCGCCUUUAGAGCGGCCCGCGUCUGAUUAGCUAGUUGGUGAGGUAAAGGCUCUCCAAGGCGACGAUCAGUAGCUGGUCUGAGAGGAUGAUCAGCCACAUUGGGACUGAGACCCGGCCCAAACUCCUACGGGAGGCAGCAGUGGGGAAUCUUGCGCAAUGGGCGAAAGCCUGACGCAGCCAUGCCGCGUGAAUGAUGAAGGUCUUAGGAUUGUAAAAUUCUUUCACCGGGGACGGUAAUGACGGUACCCGGAGAAGAAGCCCCGGCUAACUUCGUGCCAGCCGCCGCGGUAACAC
rnacentral:rRNA from 1 species